AGAGACGCUAUCAACGCGGGAGGUCCUCUACCGUGUACAAGUUGCACCGAUCCGCAGCGAUUCCUGGUGCGGUGAUUUCGCAUCAUAUUGUUGAUUUGCAUCUGUGGCGCUUUGAUUACCUUCAGAAACUAAUCAAAGACUGGCCAGUGCCUAAACCGUACAGGGGCACGGUGCCAUAUCAGCGAAGAAGAAGAAGAACCUUCAGAAACUAAACGUACUCAGAUUGGCAUAUGGACCAACCGUUGAGAUUUACUCAUAAUUGCGAAAACGAAGAACUUUCAGAAAUUCAACAAGUCGCGCAACGGUUGAGAGACGAUCAAUUAUGAUUGGAUCGUACUUUUCGAAUCGUGGCAAGUUUUGAGGAACAGUCCUGUCACAAGUGAUGAUUUCUCAACCGUUAUGCAAUUGUUGAAUUUUCUGAACGUAUAAACUUUUGACAACUGCGUUUAAAGAAAAGCUGCGUGUAUAGAUAUAAGAUAUAUAAGUUAGGCUAGGUUAGAUUAGGUUAGUUUUACUCUCUAAUUUUUUUAAAACUCUUUGUCUCCGAAGGUUUUUUUUGACACUUUCUAUCUACAAACCCAGGAUCCGUUCGUGUCUGCUCGAAAUUUUCUUUUGUCACCGUGACUGUUUCCGUGUCAAAGUUAUACUGCAGAAUGCAGAUCUGAAAUUUGUGACCGUUACUUUCCCCUCCUAUAUAACUUUUUUUUAGGGCGGGGUCAAACCCUUCUCCCUCAUCUAAGUAAGUUGCAAACGUAGGUAGAUUCUGCGCAGAUACGGACGCCUAAACAGUUAAAGGGGCACGGAGCCAUAAGUGCAAAGAAGAAGCAGAUACGGACGACCCUGGUUUGCGGAUUAAGAGUUAAUGCUGUUUUUUAUAUUAGAACGUUUUCGAAAAAAAGUGCAUGAAAAGUGCAAUUAGAUACUCCGCAUAUAUUCAAGCAGAACAUCCAAAAAAGACACCCCUGUAUUGCUCGAUUAUUGAAACAACCGAGUAGCGCCAUGUUUUUCUUUUUUUUUGCAUUAAAAAUAAAAUACAGCCUUUAAGACCCGGCUUAAAUGACCUCAAGUCUCGUGUUUGUUUCUCUUCCCUACGACACGACUACUAGCGACAAAUCUUACGACAAUCGAAUUUUGCUCACAGGUAAAAUAACGAUCUUCUUUUGUGGUAAAAGAUGCACGACACACUGUCGGUACGAUUUAUAUCUACUUUAGAUAAAAACGAAAAUUCAAUUUAUCAUUUGACACAAUUUCUUGAAUUCUUCAGUAUAAAUUCGCAGUUGAAUGAUGAGCCUCAAUUACGCGAGGCUUGAGAUAAAUGCGAGAGGAAGUGGAAUAUGAAAUACUACACGCUCGAUCUCUCAGAGGAACCAGCGCGCUACGCUAUCUCGUAGGAUGCCGACAUCCGGAGGAUAUUGCGCCUUAGCGUGGCAUCCUGCCACAGGAAGGGGAAACCUCCUCCUGUCUUAUCCCGGAAUUCAAAACCAACGGUGAUGUCGUGUUCUCUCUCAGGAAUCUCUUCUUUAUCGCAAGGUCACCGCUAAAUAAAAACUUCAAAAUGUCUCAUGCAACGUUUCACACCUCGCAAGUUACUGAACAAAACAUUUUCCGGAGUUUCUCUUGCGUGUCUAGAGAAUUUAUUCUCGGAACGGCAUGGGACAAAGUAAUGAGAAAUGGUUCGAGCGCUACGCUUCAUACAUUGAACCUUG